ensembl:lncRNA
UUUGAUCUCGGUUAUGUAAAAAUCGAAAAGAUUUAACGUACAUUGUUUCUUUUCUGCAUAGGGCUCCGAAUUCCACUUCUGCCCUUUAGCACCGUCCACGUUAUCAUUUUCAUGUUUAUUUUAGAGUAAAAUUUCUGGACUCUCUACAUGACAGAAAUUUGGAAUAUAAAAUUGUGAGCUGGAUGAUUUUAUUUCAAAAUUCAGCUUGUGGGUGGGAGUAGAAAAGGGUUGAAUGUGUUCUUAAAAAUUACACACAUACUCCCUCCUGAAAUAAUGGUCCUGCAUCACUUUAUGGUCCACGUGUGGGUGAGCACCUCCCAGAAAGGCACACCAGGCACCCAUUUAGCAAAACAUCUGCUGAACCCUGGAACUCACCCAGUAGAUCCAGCAUCGAAUCUGAAAGAGAAGACAGGGUUUUAAAUUUGUACCAUUUUGCAUGUUAAUGUUUUAUUUUCCCCUUAUGGAUCUCAUAUGUAUUUAUUUUUUAAUGUGCAUUUUGCUCCUUUUAACCUGGUAGCAGCCCUGUGAAAUAUCACAGGCCUUUUAGUCAGUGUUUCUCUAACAAGCCAACCAGGCACAAACAGGAUUUUUAUAUCCGUUUGUAAAUUUUGGUUGGGGGCAGUGGAGAGAAGGAAAAAUAAAAAGACAAAUACUACGUUUGUGUGAGGUUCAGUUCACAUCACUCGUACAAUAGUGAGCUGUUGGCAUAUGUCUCCAUAAAUAGGCUUCAAAAAGAAAUUAUUGCAGUGUAAAAAUAGUUUCCCUGAAUUCACGUGCUUUUUACCGUUCCCAGGUCUCAAAAUGGCUUUUAAAAUUAUUUUUUCAGACUGUUAGAGCUAUGUGUCCCGUUUGUGAUCGGACGUGUUUCUCUGCCCUGCUCUGUGGAGGGGGGUCGGCGGGCAGGGCCCUUGAGACAGCCUGGCACCAUUCUAGUCUAAAGGAGCCCCAACUUGAGACAUUCACUUUUGUUGCCGGAAAAAAAGGAACAUGAGAAAUUAAAGUAUCAAAGGAGGCUGAGGAGUUUAAGCCUGAGAAGAAAAUCCACAAAUUAACUAAGUAAAUAAAUAGAUAAACAGGCCUGCCCAAUCUACUCACCCGACAGAGAACACCGUGCCUACCACACCAAGCACCGUUCUAGGCACAGAGACCCAGCCUGGGACAAAGCCAGCGCCCCGUGGAGCUACUGUGUGGAGACGGACAUCUCCAAAGGACAUCCACUGCAUGAUGCUCUCCAAAUCAUGCCCAUUUUCCCAGAACCAGCCUGCUCGGAAACUUUUUGGUCUGCAGGUAACUCCAGACACAUUCUCAAGAUAGUGCAAGAGAAAGGGGUCGCACAGAAACACCCAGUCCCCUAUUACAGAUAAACACCUCUCCCUCCAGGAACGUGCUGUAGAGUUUGGAUGUCUCCAUUGUAUACAUAAUAACUGCAGUCACCUGGCUGACCACCUCGCGGAGCACCUGACGAAACGACCCCACCAGCUGGGGAGCGUGGAUCCUGCAACAUCAAGGCAAACAGCAAAUGCAAACAAGGUGGUAAGUGGCGCUCAGCAAUCCUGGAAGAGCGGGAGGAGAACCCCGUCCGAGGGGAGCCUGCCGUGCCCAGUGCUUCCUAUGUCGGCUCUGCCUGCCACAGAGCUCCCUGGCGAGGACCAGCUCUCACUGCCCCCUGCUGGCGAGGUCUGAAUUCAGUCUGUUUAAGCUGCUCCGUUUUGUCCAAGGGCUAUUUAACCAGACAAGUAAAUAAAUUCACUUGUUCACAAAGCAUAAAAAUUUUUAAACUUUUAUAUAAACAGUACUUAAAAUUAACCCCAAGAAUGUCCUGUAUCAUUAUUUCAUUUCUUUAAUUAAAGAUAUGUUUUCGCACUACAAAAGCAAUAUGUAUUAAUUAAAGAAAAACAAAUAAGGAAAAGGAAAAGCAAAAUGCCCACCUUUCCAGAAACGACCAUUAAAACCUUGACGCAUAUCCUUCCAAGCUUUCUUCUCCUUUUUGCUGGCAUGUGCCCUUAUAUCCCUUUAUUAUUUCCUUUUUUUUUAUUUUUACAAAACGUAGUCCAAUUGCGCAUUUUGAAUAUUGCUUUAAAAGUAUUUAUAUUAACAAAUGUCCUUCCAUACCAUCCAUUUUUAUGGCACCAUAAUAUCCCAUUAUGUAAAUAUACCACAUUUUACCUAAUCAUCCUUCUUCAACCAACAAAAGUACUACUAACAGCCCGUGAUAAUAUACUGACAGCCAGACCCAUUCUUUGAUUGGUAAUUGGUCAACGUGUUCUCUUAACUAAAGACAUUCUGAAGCGGUGUUUUACAAUUUUUCUCUCCUUUUGUCAUCAAAACGCAAGGUUAACAGAAGCUCCUGGGUUGGCAGGACCACACGGUGGUCAGCAGGGCCUCAGUUUCACAGGGGUCACAACUCCACCUAGUUCAUGGAGAAGGAGGAAGCUUGAAGGAGAUGGAGUUUCUGCCUAGAAAAGCCCUUCUCUGUCCCUUCUCUGGCACAUUCUCUCCCAAAGCCAACGUGCCGUGGAAAUCAAACUAGGAAAGCGGAGAAGAUGGUCAGCGAACACGGAACAGAAGAAGAAGAGUGGAGAAAGAGUCUUCAGGGAUGUUUCGUGUGAACUCGGAGAAAGCUCAGGAAAUCGACCCUUGAGCUAGGAACCCCUCCUCCCUCCUUUCCAGGCGGGAGCCCAACUGAAAGCAGCGCUAAUCAGCAGGUGUGACCAGGAGCCACGGGUUUAGAUAAAAAGCUGGCUGAAGCAUCUUGCUUGUGAUAGGGCAGUUUAACUUUAGAAUUUAGGUGUGCUUAUGCUAUUUGAAGUGUAAGCCAUGUUUUUAAAAAUGACUCAUGAUUUAUUUUUGGCUGGGGAGCACUGGUCCCAGUCCUGGACUCUCGGAUGUGUUAACACUUAUGUGGCCAAGUCCCAAAUAUCUGAUCACCCUCUGUAAGGUUAAUCUUCAACUUUGAUCUUGACGACCCAUCUGCCCCAGCACCAGACCACCAGCAAUGAGUCAGACUUCACCCAACGGGGUCUCUUCCGGAGGAUGGGAGAGCCCGAUGGCCUCUCUGGGGCACUGCUAAUCCAGCCAUGAUGCCUCCACUGCUCUUGCCGGAGCUGACUGCGGGCAAGUCCGUUCUGUCUGGUGGACUGAGCUUUCUCAGGAUCCCAGCUGGGAGGACAAUACCCCACCCCUUAGCCUGCUCCAUCCUCAGCCCGGAGUGGUGAGAGCUGGGAUCUUACUUCCCCUCCUUGGCUAGAUUUUCCCUUCCUCCUCUAUGGGUCUCAGGAGUGCGGGAAGAGGAACAAAAAGCUUGCUUGUGCUUAACAUACUCCUCUAGCCUGAUGCUAAUCACACUCAUCUAAAAAUAAAAAAAUUCAAGCUCCAUUUUAAGGGCUAGAUUACUCUUUAGUAAAGACUAAUAGAUGUUUCCACACUUUUCUAGGGUUUACCACCACCUCUGCCUACAUAACGGUGCCUUUGCCUCAAAGAUCCAGUUAAAAAUGUUAAAUCCUUGUUUUUAAUAGACACCAACGUAAGACAGCCUUUACAAAACUUUUUUUUUUUUUGAGAAAGGUUAGCCCUGAGCUAACAUCUGCUGCCAAUCCUCCUUUUUGCUGAGGAAGACUGGCCCUGAAUUAACAUCCCGUCCCCAUCUUCCUCUACUUUAUGUGUCAGACCCCUGCCACAGCAUGGCUUCAUAUGUGGUGCGUAGGUCUGUGCCCCAGAUCCAAAGUGGCGAACCCUGGGCUGCCAAAGGAUAGCAUGCGAACUUAACCACUACGCCACGAGGCCAGCCCUUAUACAACGUUUCAACGGUUGUCCUGGCUCAUUUUUUCAAGCAUUUGAAGUGGCUUACCAAAAAAUACAAAUAGAAAUUUCAAUAAAAUCAGGACUAGGCAAAAAUUAAAAAGUGCAACAGUUAAGGACAGAAAGAAAACGACAUAUUUGGCUUGGAGGUUUCUUAUAGCCAAAGUGAACAGGGAUGCUGCACGAGUUCUCUUCGUCCAUGGGAGCAAGAAAACAAUUAGCAAGUCCCUGGCUCAGAUAUCUGUUCGGGGUACAUGACAGACAUCCUCAACGAUGCUGUGAGUGCCUGCGACAACUGGUUCCAAAUAACAAUGAUUUUCCCCAGUAAAAAAUGAAGACAUCUGCUUCUGCCCGGGCACUUUUGGCACGCACGGGCCUCCUCAUGAAUCCCAUUGUAAGAUGUACAGACACAUCACAACUCCAGGCUAAAGUUACAUUUGAGCUAAGUUUGAGGGACGAGUAUAAGACUGCCAGCUAGAGGAAAGAAAAACGUAUUUGAGGCAGGAGCAGAAUGAGCUGACAGAUGCCCUCAGGAAGAGACGGGUACGAUCGCUUUAUUUACUACUAUGACUCCGAGUGGUGUGGACGCCUAACUUAAGCGAGCAGUGACCGCAUGAAAACCAGUUGGGAGGCUGCUGCGAUCACUUGGAGGAGUCCCUGACGGCCGCUUAAGACAAGGUAGAGGCAGCUGAGGACGUCCCAGGCCUCUGGGCUGGGAAACUGGAAGGACCACAUAAUGGACGUGACCACGUGAUGCAGAGCCCGGUAUACACUCCAUGUUCAAUAGCUUUUCUUUUCUCUGACCAGACACAUUUUGAGAGAAAGAGAGCUCACUUUGAGGCACACAAAAUUCGAGGUGCAGGCAGGUGUCCACGGGGUACAGUCUAGUGCACUUAGUCCAGAACUGACAAAAGACAAAACAGACUUGGAAAGCACAGGAAUCUAGAGCACAGAAGCCAUGGGAAUGGGAGAAAGUUCCUAGAAGGCUGUAGAAAAGAAAAGGAAACCACAGCCUGAAGGGCAGGACUAUUAGUGGAAAAGGCAGGAGAAACAGCAGGAACCGAGGAGGAAAAGCAUGGCAAAGGCCCAAAUGCGGACCAAAAAAUCUUAUUUUUCUAAAAAAAGCCAGCAAGGUCAAGAGAAACGGCUGUGAAGAAGCUAUUGGAUUUGACCAUAAAUAGGCAUUGGUAACCGUAUUAACGUUUUAGCAGAGCAGUGGGGACAAAGGCCAGAAAAGAUUCAAGAUGAACAAAAGGCUAUCUUGAGAAGUACGACUUUGAGGACUGGAUAGAAGGUAGCAUUCAGGGCAGGAGAGCACAGCUAGGGUCAAGGGUAGGACAUUGUUUUAAGAGAUAUAAGUAUGUUUUGCAGCUGAGGUGACAGUGGAUUUGGAAA